UACAGAGGUCUCAAGCGUUGUUCGGAAUCACUGGGCGUAAAGCGUGCGUAGGCUGUUUCGUAAGUCGUGUGUGAAAGGCGCGGGCUCAACCCGCGGACGGCACAUGAUACUGCGAGACUAGAGUAAUGGAGGGGGAACCGGAAUUCUCGGUGUAGCAGUGAAAUGCGUAGAUAUCGAGAGGAACACUCGUGGCGAAGGCGGGUUCCUGGACAUUAACUGACGCUGAGGCACGAAGGCCAGGGGAG
rnacentral:rRNA from 1 species